rnacentral:ncRNA from 1 species
UGUCUUCAAGGCGGGGUGAAAGUCCCCACCGGUGGUAAAAGUCCACAAGCUCUUUGCUGAUCGGGUGCAAUUCCCGAACCGACGGUCAAAGUCCGGAUGAAAGAAGAU